UAAAAUAAUAUUCUAACAGCAACAGUUUAAAAAUCAGCUCAAUAAAAGUAAAAUUUCCCUCUCCUACCUCUGAUUCCCCAGUUCUUUUAGAGUUGUUCAAAAAUUCUUCAUGUGCAACACAGAUAAAAAAUUAUUACCGUGGGUGUAUUCAUAGCUCCUUUAUAUCCUCCAAACACAAAAUUCCGACCUAUACACCCUGACUCCUUCCCACCUCCUACAUUUCCUACCACCCACUGCUUCGUUAUGCAGGUAAGACAAAUGGGCAGGGGCCUUAUAAGUCAAAAAGCAAACAAGUUGAGGUAGGAGAUUUGUAUCCAAAAGGCCCAGGUCUAUUCAUUACAGAGAGAAAAUAUAAAAGAAAUGGAAAGAAAGAGGGAGGGGUGGUAGGUGAGGCGCACACUGACUGAGAGUGCAGGGAGGGUUUUGAUGGACAGAAGAGAGUGAGGAAGGUCGGGACAGAGGCUUCGAGGUACCUACAGGAGGGCUGAGUGGAAGACGGGAAGUCUGUGGGAAUGCAGACUUACAGAGCUGUUCGUACAAAUUAUGUUACAUAAAAUACCAGGGUUUACAUGAAGCCUUUGACGAAUACAAAUAAAGAUUAGAAUUACUUUUACUGUCUUCUGAACAUGAUGCCCUCUGAGGCUGAGUCAUUGGUGCCCAGGAUCUGCUCUUUUCACUCUGUGUGAGUUGCAUUUGUGUGUGUGUGUGUGUGUAGAAAGAGAUGUAUGGUAUAUGUGUAUUUAUCUACAUAUGUUCUUUCUAAAAAACACAAAUGGGAUCACUGUGUUAAGUACUCUUAUGUACUUGGGCUCCCUUCCCCCUUAAACUAGUAGAUUGAUUUAUUUAUAUCCUGCCUACUCACUUUUAAAAAGAUUCGAGUUAGUUAACAGUGAAAUCCCAGGCACAGGCCCUAAAAUCAUUAACCUCACUCCAAGGACAGGAACCAAAAAAUGUAACAGCCAAGGGAGAAACUAUAUUCAUAAAUUCUAGCUAAUAAUUUCAUUUCAUGAAUGUAAUAAAAAUUAAUAAGGUGCUUUAAAAAUAGAAUCCUAAGAAACCAAAUGCCAGGCAUUAUUUUUGGAAGGAAGAAAUUAAUUUUACCUAAGAAAAGACAGAACAAUGAGAAAAAAAAAAAGCCCAGAGCUUAAAAAGACAGUGAGCACUUCUUACUGCACAGCUCCAUCCAUGCCAGAGCUACCAAGGAGCUUUAGGAAGGUGCCACCAAUUCUUGUUUAUAUAAAUAGCAGGUAAUUUCUACAGUGUACUUCACAGGUUUUCAUACGUUCAGAUGGACAGGAAGGAAGCGACUUCACAGAAAAGAGUAAAGGACCAGUACAAGGAAUUAUUUCAGAAAGAGCGGAGAAACGGUCUAUUUCCCACAGUCUUCUCAGCGCCUGACAACUCCAUCCAUCUCAUUCUCAUCCCUCCAGUGGGUGCAAAACAGUUGAUUACAGCAGAAUUCUUCUUAUAAAUCUUCCCUCAAAGUGGGGCUGUGUGAACAGUAUCCCGUCAGUGUGAAGGAUGGGGACCAUGCCAAUUUUUUUUAAAAACAUUGUUUGAUCCUGCAAUACUCUCAGCACACUGUCUUUCAAUCUUCCCCUCCACGGAGUUUCCUGUCACCAUGCAAUAUGCACAUAAAUGGGUGACCCAGAAAUUUGGUUUCAGUUCUGUGACCUUCUCCACUCUGAUAACUAUCAGCGACAAAUCAAACUGCUGGGAACACACAGCUGCAUCCCUGAUACCUUGCACUCUGAAGUUCCCUCCCUUCCUACAACCUCCUUCCACUUCCCCCCUCCCUCACACUUUCUGAACCCGUUUUUUACCUGUGCACCUUCACUAUUCACCUCCACUGCUAUCAGCCCCCUCUAGAUUCCCCUUGACUCCUUAGUCUGUAGCUCAGUUAAAAACCUUUGCAACUUCAUGCACACAGUGCCCUAACUUCCUUCUCACUCCCUUCCCACACUGACCCUCUACUACACCUGUUUGCCAAUCACUCACCCUGCUUAACCCAGCUGGUGUCUGUGUCUCUUGUGACUCCUGGGACUUGCUGGAGAAAAGUCACUGGAUACAAUAAACACGUACCAGGUGUUUAGGACAUGCAGCUCUGUCUGAAAUGUGGCUCUGUUGUUCAUUAGCAUGGAAAAAUUCGGGAAAGUGACAAUCUCUCUGAACACCUGCUCCCUAAUGUGUAAGACAGGACAUGUUCAGUAGCAUGCUUUCAGCUACAACAGAAAACCCAACCAAAAGUAGUUUACUGUCUCCCAUAACAAGGUGCCUAAAGAUUGGUUCCAGGCUCACUCAGGGGCCCAAUGAUGUCAUCGAGAACAAAGGCUCUUUUCUUUUUACACUCCAUCAUUCUCAGCACCUUGGUUUGGGUCUUCUUAGAUUUACCUUUUCAUAGUUACAAUGUUGGCAACUACAUUUCCAGGCAUUACAGACACAAAGUCCUGGGGGAAAACAGUGCACUUCCCCCCAGGUGCCUUCCUACUUUAGGGAGAAAAACCUUUCCUUGAACCUUCCUAGUAGAAUUCUCCUGAAGCCUCUUUGGCUUCAUCACACAUCCACCCUUUAACCAAUCGCUGCCAAAGGGAAAUGGGACUGUCACAUUGCCUUCUGGACCAAUCACAAUUCACCCUCUGGUGCUGGAGAGGGCCAAUCUCUUCUGAGCCC